GAUGAACGCUGGCUGUGUGCCUAAUACAUGCAUGUCGAGCGGAGUUCUUCGGAACUUAGCGGCGAAUGGGUGAGUAACACGUACUUAACGUGCCCUCUAGAUUGGGAUAACGAUGAGAAAUUAUCGCUAAUACCGGAUACUUAUUAGUUUGGCAUCAAACUAAUAUAAAAGGAGCGUUUGCUUCACUAGAGGAUCGGGGUGCGGAACAUUAGUUUGUUGGUAAGGUAAUGGCUUACCAAGACGAUGAUGUUUAGCGGGGUUGAGAGACUGAUCCGCCACACUGGGACUGAGAUACGGCCCAGACUCCUACGGGAGGCAGCAGUAGGGAAUUUUCCACAAUGGACGAAAGUCUGAUGGAGCGACACAGCGUGCAGGAAGACGGCCUUCGGGUUGUAAACUGCUGUUAUAAGGGAAGAAAAAGCAGUAGAGGAAAUGCUAUUGCCUUGACGGUACCUUGUCAGAAAGCAACGGCUAACUAUGUGCCAGCAGCCGCGGUAAUACAUAGGUUGCAAGCGUUAUCCGGAAUUAUUGGGCGUAAAGCGUCUGUAGGUUGUGUGUUAAGUCUGGCGUUAAAACUUGGGGCUCAACCCCAAAUUGCGUUGGAUACUGGCACGCUAGAAUUGUGUAGAGGUUAGCGGAAUUCCUAGUGAAGCGGUGAAAUGCGUAGAUAUUAGGAAGAACACCAACAUGGCGAAGGCAGUUAACUGGGCACAUAUUGACACUGAGAGACGAAAGCGUGGGGAGCAAACAGGAUUAGAUACCCUGGUAGUCCACGCUGUAAACGAUGAUGAUUAGCUGAUAGAAAACUAUCGGCGCAGCUAACGCAUUAAAUCAUCCGCCUGAGUAGUAUGCUCGCAAGAGUGAAACUUAAAGGAAUUGACGGGGACCCGCACAAGCGGUGGAGCAUGUGGUUUAAUUUGAAGAUACGCGUAGAACCUUACCCACUCUUGACAUCUUCCGCAAUGCUAUAGAGAUAUAGCGGAGGCUAACGGAAUGACAGAUGGUGCACGGUUGUCGUCAGCUCGUGUCGUGAGAUGUUCGGUUAAGUCCUGCAACGAGCGCAACCCUUAUCCUUAGUUAAAUGUUCUAGGGAGACUGCCCGAGUAAUUGGGAGGAAGGUGGGGACGACGUCAAAUCAUCAUGCCUCUUACGAGUGGGGCAACACACGUGCUACAAUGGAUAGUACAAAGAGAAGCAAUACGGUGACGUGGAGCAAAUCUCAAAAAACUAUUCUCAGUUCGGAUUGUAGUCUGCAACUCGACUACAUGAAGUCGGAAUCGCUAGUAAUCGUAGAUCAGCUACGCUACGGUGAAUACGUUCUCGGGUCU
rnacentral:rRNA from 1 species